rnacentral:piRNA from 1 species
UGUGAUGACCUUUGAGGAUGUGACUGU